rnacentral:rRNA from 1 species
GAUGAACGCUGGCGGCGUGCCUAAUACAUGCAAGUCGAGCGAACGGACGAGAAGCUUGCUUUUCUGAUGUUAGCGGCGGACGGGUGAGUAACACGUGGAUAGCCUACCUAUAAUACUGGGAUAACUUCGGGAAACCGGAGCUAAUACCGGAUAAUAUUUUGAACCGCAGGGUUCAAAAGUGAAAGACGGUCUUGCUGUCACUUAUAGAUGGAUCCGCGCUGCAUUAGCUAGUUGGUAAGGUAACGGCUUACCAAGGCAACGAUGCAUAGCCGACCUGAGAGGGUGAUCGGCCACACUGGAACUGAGACACGGUCCAGACUCCUACGGGAGGCAGCAGUAGGGAAUCUUCCGCAAUGGGCGAAAGCCUGACGGAGCAACGCCGCGUGAGUGAUGAAGGUCUUCGGAUCGUAAAACUCUGUUAUUAGGGAAGAACAUAUGUGUAAGUAAAUGUGCACAUCUUGACGGUACCUAAUCAGAAAGCCACGGCUAACUACGUG